rnacentral:rRNA from 1 species
UACGGAGGGUGCAAGCGUUGUCCGGAAUCACUGGGCGUAAAGGGCGCGUAGGCGGCUCAUGAAGGCUGUGGUGAAAGUCCGGGGCUCAACCUCGGAUCGGCCGUGGCGACUCGUGGGCUGGAGCACUGUAGAGGCAGGCAGGGGAGAACGGAAUUCCCGGUGUAGCGGUGAAAUGCGCAGAUAUCGGGAGGAACACCGGUGGCGAAAGCGGCUCACUGGACCACAACUGACGCUGAUGCGCGAAAGCUAGGGAGCAAACAGG